GUAAAGGGUUAAGACUUGACCCCUGUACCCGCAAAGCAAACCUAGCCUUUAAUUUUCAGGGAGAGUGAUCUAUACUAUCCCUAUUACUACUACUAUUAUGACUAUUUCCAGGUUAAGAGUGACUACCUGGAGGAUGAAAGCAGGGCGGCAGAAGGCAUGGAUUUCGACACAGCCAUCCAGCUCACUUGCAUCGAAAUCAAGCGAGUCUUUAAGCGGAUGAACGGAUGCGCGAUGGACAAGAAGUCAAAUCUUGAGCAGCCGGAGAAGGAAGUCGGUCUACAUGAAUUCCUACCGGCCUACGUCAUCAACACCAUCAAACAGAAAACGUUACGUAAGGCUUUGCAGGGAAACUUUAAGAAAUUCUCGGCGUUCUUCGAUUACGAAUCUCACUUCAAGUGCCUCGAGAUUUUGGGAAAAGUUGGAAAGUUUGACAUCGAAAACUUCCGCUGUGCACUCGGCUGUGGUUGGUCUAUUCCUGUCACUCUGCUUGUCGGCCCAAGUGUUGGUAUUUCCUACUGGACAGAUUCUGCCUCUGCCUUGCGUUGAAAUCGCCCAUGACGACAGUGGUGCCGGCAUCCACAGUGUGCUGCGUCAGUACUCCGCACUGAGCAUCAUGACAAUAAGGGGAGGCAUCUGGAGGUAUAUAUACGCCUCCUAACUUCAGUUCUGGAAUGCAUCACAAAACCACCGUGGCAUAUCUGGUCCUCAGCAUCCACGUCAACUUGCUUCACACUGUGCAUCAGUGCAUCCUGGCCAAGCAUCACCACUCCUCUAUUGCGUCCACUUCUUGACACAUUUCGGCACACACUAAAUCCCGGUACUUGUACGUUGUAAUAUUUUGUGGCUUCAAGAAUCCAGACGAUGUCAAAGUCCAGAAUAAACUUCAGUAUACUUGGCU